GAUGGACACGACUCUCGGCAAUGGAUAUCUCGGCUCUCGCAUCGAUGAAGAGCGCAGCGAAAUGCGAUACGUGGUGCGAAUUGCAGAAUCCCGC
rnacentral:rRNA from 1 species